rnacentral:rRNA from 1 species
AGAUUGAACGCUGGCGGCAUGCCUUACACAUGCAAGUCGAACGGCAGCACGGGAGCAAUCCUGGUGGCGAGUGGCGAACGGGUGAGUAAUAUAUCGGAACGUGCCCAGUCGUGGGGGAUAACGCAGCGAAAGCUGUGCUAAUACCGCAUACGAUCUCUGGAUGAAAGCGGGGGACUCGCAAGGGCCUCGCGCGAUUGGAGCGGCCGAUAUCAGAUUAGCUAGUUGG